UACGAGGGGGGCAAGCGUUGUUCGGAAUCACUGGGCAUAAAGGGCGCGUAGGCGGUCGGUCAAGUCUGGGGUGAAAUCUUUCGGCUCAACCGGAAACGUGCCCCGGAUACGGAUCGGCUGGAGGGAGGUAGGGGUCACUGGAACUGACGGUGGAGCGGUGAAAUGCGUAGAUAUCGUCAGGAACGCCAAUGGUGAAGACAGGUGACUGGGCUAGUUCUGACACUGAGGCACGAAAGCGUGGGGAGCGAACGGG
rnacentral:rRNA from 1 species